rnacentral:rRNA from 1 species
CGAAAGCCUGACGGAGCAACGCCGCGUGAGGGAUGGAGGCCUUUGGGCUGUAAACCUCUUUUCUCAAGGAAGAAGAUCUGACGGUACUUGAGGAAUAAGCCACGGCUAACUCCGUGCCAGCAGCCGCGGUAAUACGGGAGUGGCAAGCGUUAUCCGGAAUUAUUGGGCGUAAAGCGUCCGCAGGCGGCCGUUUAAGUCUGUUGUUAAAUCGUGGAGCUCAACUCCAUCUCGGCAAUGGAAACUGUUCGGCUUGAGUAUGGUAGGGGCAGAGGGAAUUUCCGGUGUAGCGGUGAAAUGCGUAGAUAUCGGGAAGAACACCAGUGGCGAAAGCGCUCUGCUGGGCCAUUACUGACGCUCAUGGACGAAAGCCAGGGGAGCGAAAGGGAUUAGAUACCCCUGUAGUCCUGGCCGUAAACGAUGAACACUAGAUGUUGGGGGAAUCGACCCCCUCGGUGUCGUAGCUAACGCGUUAAGUGUUCCGCCUGGGGAGUACGCACGCAAGUGUAAAACUCAAAGGAAUUGACGGGGGCCCGCACAAGCGGUGGAGUAUGUGGUUUAAUUCGAUGCAACGCGAAGAACCUUACCAAGGCUUGACAUCCUGCGAAUCUCUAAGAAAUUAGAGAGUGCCUUCGGGAACGCAGUGACAGGUGGUGCAUGGCUGUCGUCAGCUCGUGUCGUGAGAUGUUGGGUUAAGUCCCGCAACGAGCGCAACCCACGUUUUUAGUUGCCAGCAUUCAGUUGGGCACUCUAGAAAGACUGCCGGUGACAAACCGGAGGAAGGUGUGGACGACGUCAAGUCAUCAUGCCCCUUACGCCUUGGGCUACACACGUACUACAAUGCUGCGGACAAAGAGUAGCGAUCUUGCGAAAGUUAGCUAAUCUCAUAAACCGUGGCUCAGUUCAGAUCGUAGGCUGCAACUCGCCUACGUGAAGGAGGAAUCGCUAGUAAUCGCAGGUCAGCAUACUGCGGUGAAUACGUUCCCGGGCCUUGUACACACCGCCCGUCACACCAUGGAAGUUGGCCAUGCCCGAAGUCGUUACUCUAACCUUUUGGAAGAGGGCGCCGAAGGCAGGGCUAAUGACUGGGGUGAAGUCGUAACAAGGUAGCCGUAGCGGAAGCUGCGGCUGGAUCACCUCCUAA